AAGUGUGACCAGUUUUAUGACCAAAUCUCAGGUCAGAAUCCUGGGAAAGGAGCCCGACUGUACUGUCAAAACACGUCCGCAGACCUGGUGGUCGUUGACGACGUCAGAGAUCAGAGUCCUGCCAGUAACCAUGAGAUGAAUUUCUGCUCGUUGGGCGAAACCGACAACAACUGGCUCUGGAUCGAUGGGCGUAAUGAAAGUCUUGGGUUCUGGAUGAGCGGAGUGGUUUGGUAUUCUGGUCCGUAUGCCACGGUGAUAACAUGGUGGAAAUCCUCAGCGACUUUAUUCACUCCAACAUCUCUGUUUGGAAACGUCUUCAGCUGUUAGACUGAAACUCAGCAGAAGCUUCACAUGAUGCCUGCUGUUGCUGCAUGCAGAAAUAUAACUUUAUUUUAAUUACACAAGUACUUUUCCUCAUGUCUGAGUUAGUUUUCAUCUUGAUUCAUGUUUUAAUAUUUUAGAAAGUAUUUCUAGAAUCAUAUAUUCUGAUGUUAAUAAUAAUCUGAAAUAAUCAGACACAAAUCACGGCUUUGUUUCUAUACAUAUUAAAAUAUAUUGUGAUGUUUGACAUUUUAUUUUGAAAGUUCUGCCUUUUGUUCUGUUUUCUUUUCACUUUAUUUAGUGUAACUUCUGUUUCUUUAACUCAUUUUAAAGCUUUUGUUUUCCAUCUACCAGGUAAUUGAUUAUAAAUAGAUUUUCAGACAAACUGGAUCAAAACUUUAAUGUUUUCUGCUCCUGCUUAAGACAUCAAUUAGUAAUUUAAUAUGUUUAAUAAAAGUUUAUUUUCUGGUUAUAAAACCAAAUCAUAGACAAUCUGUUCAACUCAACAUGAUCAAAAAUGACUUUUAUCUUUAUCUUAAUAUUUGGUGAAAGCAGAAAUAAAGCCUUAUAUUCAGAGAGAAUAAAUAUUUAAUGUUUCAAAACAUUGUCAAUUUUCUCUGCUUUAAUUUAAGACUCAUUAUAGACAAAUAAGGGUGCUACUAUUAAUGAGCGAUUCCUGCUCAUCCCGCCUCAGAACAGUUUGGUUCUGUGGAUAUAAACUAUCAUGCACUCACACCUGAGGAGAAAUUAAAGAGACAAAUUAACCGAACAAUGAUGUUGGACUGUGGGAGGAAGCCGGAGUACCCGGAGAGAACCCACACAUGCACAGGGAGAACAUGCAAACUCCAAAGUUUUUCCAGAUUUUUCCAAAAAGUUGCACCAUUUGGAACAACCACAGAAAAACAGGACCUGUCACCAGAUACCUGAGCCUUUGUAUAGACAUUACCUGCUGUAUUUGUUUCACACGUUUUAAAUUUGAUUUGUAAAAGUUU